GGUCCCACAAUUACGUCAGUGAUAUAUGUUCUCACGCAACCAAUUUCUCGGUAGUGACAUAAAGCAAGAACCCAAGUGAUUCUCCUCCUCACCUGACUGUCUCUCCUCCUCACCUGACUGUCUCUCCUUAAUUAUCUCCUCUCCUCAACAGUCUCUUCCUGUCAAAGGCGCUGAGACACGUAGAGUGAGACAUCAACACCUGGUCUUCCCACUCGGGGCAGUCAGGUGAUGAUACAGUCUUCUUACAAGGACGUUUUCUGUCGCCUCCUGUAUAGUGGCAGGUGUUUCCUCUCUGGGUCCAGCGAGCGGAGACGACUAUCACAAUGGUACUGCAGUGAACCGUCUGGGAGAGACAUGAAGGAAGCCAUGGUGUGCGCUCAGGGAACAAACCAGAGUUUAUCAUCACAAACACUGGCGAGUUGACGACGAGAGAUAUGAUGGCAGGCCUUGUAUAGUACAACUGGCCUAGGAGCUAUACACAGCUGUACGAAAUCGACAGUUGUUUGUCGGCGUCAUAGAGCCACUCAUUUCCUGGAAUAUCGUACAGAUCACGGAGGUCUAAAUGCCCCAAUAUAUUAUGUUUUCUUCAUGGAUUCUGUACAUGUUUAGCUGUCAUAAUAUCCAGCUAUGAAGUCCUUUUUAGCGGUUCUAGGAC